UUAGGAACUUGCCCCAAGGUGUGUGUUUUUGCUGACAUGUCAAUUGGUGAUUUGCUGAAAAGUUGUCGUCCGCCAUGCGCCGUUCACGUGACCUGCUGCUUGCAAUUGGGUUGUGAAUUGCGUUUGUGAGCCACCGACUGUGUUUGUCCGUUUCCUUCAACCCACUUUCGCACCUUUAUUUUCUUUUUCCUUUUUUUGCUUCCUAAAGAAACCCAUGUGGGUUUGGUAAGAAUUGACUACUCCAUGCUUCAGAAUUCUGAACAGUCCUUUCCUCUCCUCUCAGUCCAUGGUCCCUCACUCUUCAGCAUCACCGAGACGCCCCUGAUCUUUUCCUUUUUCAUGAUCAUCAUCUCACUCUUCAUUCUUCCAUCUUUUUUUUUUCAACAUCAUCUUCAUCUUCUUAUCUUCUAUCUGUCUUGGUGAGAAGAAAAAAAAUAAUUUGCUCCGAGCUUCUUUCUUCCUCUGCCCAAAAUAAUCUAGCCAUUUAAUUUUUUCCCUUUUUUUGACCGAGAUGAGGAGUUUAGUUGUAGCUUUUGGAGCAAACUAAUGUUGUUUAUUUUUUUUUUACAUUGCAAGAUAAAAGGCCUUCAGAUGUUUCUGCAUCUGCUUGAUCGUCUUCCUCUCCUCUUCUUCUCUCUUAUUAUUUUUUUUUUGGUCAAAAACCUCUUCUUCCUUUCACCAUUUUUUCUAUCUAUGCAUGUGAUAAGCAAGUGAUAGAGACAAAUCUGAAAUCCUUUUAGCUAUUGAAUCUGAACAUUUUGAGAUUUUUCUUUCAUUAAAUUUUCUGUUCAUGUUGUUUUCUCCUUUUACUUAUCUGAUCUGAACUUGACCUUUUUUUUUUUGUGAUUGCAGGUGGGAAAAGUUUGUAGAUUUCAUGUUUUUAUUUUGGUUUUCGGUAUUUGAAUCCUUAACAAGAAAAUAUUUGGUGCCUUCUUAGUUUUUGGGGUUUCUUUGACAAACAGCCAACAGCACUAAUUUUUUGGAAGAUCUUGAACCUCUGAACUCUAGGCAACCAAAAUAAGAUAGGUUAUUACAGGGAUGGAUGGUAAUUUUUUUGGAAAAGGGUGUAACUUUCUGGCUGGAGUAUUACAGCAAAUGAAAGCUAUAAAUAGACUAAUUUAUUUUAUUUCCAAUUGGGCUAUGAUGAUAUAAUUUUGGUUUCUUUAGAUGUAUUUCAGGUUUUAAAUUGAUUGCCAUAUCUUGGCGAGGCAACCCUGAUGGCAUUUGGCUUUCAUUCUCCCCUUGAAAUGCAAUUGGGUCUGCAGCCAUGGCGCUUGAUUGAGCUGCACGACUAUGAAGCUUAAACGAUUAGUGAUGGCAAUUUUCUAGAAGCACUGAAAUUAAUGAACUUUACUCGAGAUGGGUUCAAAGUGAACUACAUGAGCACUAUUGCAUAGUUCCAAGAGAAUUGGCUGACUGCUCGAGACGCUGAUCAAGUAAAGACUAGAGGCAUUUUUCUAGAUAUAGCUGCAAGAGAGCACUUUUCGAUGAAUGUAUCUUAAAUUGUGACUUAUUUCUUUUUCACAAUUAAUGGCAUGCAUAGUGCAUUGGGAGAGCCUACCUCAAUUAUAUGUGUUAUUAUACUCUUCAA